rnacentral:rRNA from 1 species
GACGUAGGGUCCGAGCGUUGUCCGGAGUUACUGGGCGUAAAGGGCGCGUAGGCGGUUUCUUGCGUCCCACGUGAAAGCCCCUGGCUCAACCAGGGAGGGUCGUGGGAAACGGGGGAACUGGAGGCAGCGAGAGGCUGGUGGAAUUCCCGGAGUAGUGGUGAAAUGCGUAGAGAUGUGGAGGAAUACCGAUGGCGAAGGCAGCCCCCUGGGCCAAUACUGACGCUCAUGCACGAAAGCGUGGGGAGCAAACAGG